CACAGCUAUCCUUGGGGAUGCUCACCCUAUGGAAGAUUUACAAGGCAAAACACAGUUACAAAUAUGGAAUAGAUUGUGUAACCCUUACGCAGAGUGGUGAGCAUUGACUCCAAAAGAACAACUCACACGACUAAAGGUUUUGCUGGAGUCCAAACAAAAAAUCUAUGAAGAAAUAAGCCACCCUCCAACAGGUCCUUUCAGGUCAGUCUUCCCAUGCUCCAGCUUAUACAACCGAUCCAGACUUUAGCACU